CUUGCUUUCUGUAGGUUUAAAAUCUCAGGAGUGUUUUAACUUGUUUCUGAGUGCUACCAUAAGAGGAUCUGAGUUUUUCUAGUGUUGUCAGCACCCUUAUGUCCAGAAACCAAUUGGUCUUAGAUUUUGUCCUGUUAUGAUUCUGAAAAAGAAUUCCUAGAUGUGGGCAUUUCUCCAAGUCCAACGUCGCAGUCCAAAUACAAAUCCAAAAAAAGCUGCUACUUAACUGAAAAUAAAAACAUAAAACAACAGAAAGAUUUCACAAGCCAAAUCAACUGCCACCAUUGAACACCAUUUCCCUUGCUACUCAACUCUUGGCGCAUCUCUUGUCCACCUCUCUUAAAGUUGCUGAAGUUGGUGGCUUCUCCAUUUAACUCAAAAAACAACAACAGCCUGCCUAAUAAUUGAGAGCGCAUGGAAGAAUAAUUGCCUCCAGUCGAAGUCAUGACUCAUGAAUGAGUGUCUUCUGGAUGAAAUAAGAGAAGUUUAAGUCUGACCAUCUCUCUUUCCAGCUUCAACUUCAAUUAGGGGUUUAUUCUCCUAGAAUAUACUGUUUGAUAGAAUUAUUCCAAGAAUAUACCAUCUAUCCUAUUUCAUUAUUUAAUUCGUUAUAAGAGACCACUCACUUUCUCUCUAAAGCUUCUUGCAUGCUGUGGCCAUUGGGAAGCUAAGAAGUAUGCAGCUUUGAAUGUGUUUUGCUGAUGGUCAUCUAAUCAUCUUCAAAUCUUCUCUUCCCCUCUUUAAUUUGAAGCGUGAAGACAUGGUUAGAUGACCAUCAGCAAACGCAUUCACAAGACAUGCACAUCUCUCUGUGUUUUGAUUUGUCUAUUAUUUGCUUUUGGUAGUAUCUUUUAUGUUCGACUCUGAGUAGACUUAUAAGGUUCAUUCAAUUCAUAGCAGGAUAACAAUGGUGACAUUGUAGAUGCUGAAUUGCGAGUGUAGGGUAGAAUGUGAGAAGCCUUGAGAUCACAGUAUGCUGUCUCGGUACCAAGCUCCAUACUGAAUGUCGAUACGCUGCCCAUACCACAUACUGGUACCGAACCAGUACGAUAUGAUGCACCUCUGUACCGUUCGGUUUAGUAUGAUGCACCUUUGUACUAUUUGGUUCGGUACUAUAUAGCAUGCCUUGCUUGAGAUGAUUUUGGGUGGAAGGUGAUCCUUUUGCUUUGAUUUCGUGGUUAACCUACCAAACUGCAUGGGGCUGAUUUUGGCCCCGGGUUGAAAGUUCGGGCUCAAUUCCGGCUCGGCUGGAGGCUGGCCUAGCGAUAUCAUGCUGAAGCCAAACCAAGGUCUAUGUAUUUUCGCAGGCUGGAUCGGGUUCAUGUCAGGCUCAAAUCACUUGUCAAAAAAUUUAAAUUUGGGUCUAGUUGGGCUAAAACGCUGUAGAUUGAUGCAUUAGUUGGGCUAAAAGGCUGUCAAAUUUUUUUUUCUUGCAUUAGUUUCUAGAUUGAUGCAUGCCCUGUAGCCAUUCGUUAUACAUGGAUAUCACUUUGUUGGCAAUGAUUUGAUGUAACAAGCAUGAAGUUAUCCAUCCAUUGGAAGACAUUUUUCAACA